AAAACGACUCUCGGCAACGGAUAUCUCGGCUCUCGCAUCGAUGAAGAACGUAGCGAAAUGCGAUACUUGGUGUGAAUUGCAGAAUCCCGUGAACCAUCGAGUCUUUGAACGCAAGUUGCGCCCAAAGCCUUUUGGCCGAGGGCACGUCUGCCUGGGUGUCACAC
rnacentral:rRNA from 1 species